AGUGAACGCUGGCGGUAGGCCUAACACAUGCAAGUCGAACGGCAGCACAGUAAGAGCUUGCUCUUACGGGUGGCGAGUGGCGGACGGGUGAGGAAUACAUCGGAAUCUACUUUUUCGUGGGGGAUAACGUAGGGAAACUUACGCUAAUACCGCAUACGACCUACGGGUGAAAGCAGGGGAUCUUCGGACCUUGCGCGAUUGAAUGAGCCGAUGUCGGAUUAGCUAGUUGGCGGGGUAAAGGCCCACCAAGGCGACGAUCCGUAGCUGGUCUGAGAGGAUGAUCAGCCACACUGGAACUGAGACACGGUCCAGACUCCUACGGGAGGCAGCAGUGGGGAAUAUUGGACAAUGGGCGCAAGCCUGAGCCAGCAAUACCGCGUGGGUGAAGAAGGCGUUCGGGUUGUAAAGCCCUUUUGUUGGGAAAGAAAAGCAGCAGGUUAAUACCCCGCUGUUCUGACGGUACCCAAAGAAUAAGCACCGGCUAACUUCGUG
rnacentral:rRNA from 1 species